rnacentral:rRNA from 1 species
UGAGGAAUAUUGGUCAAUGGGCGAGAGCCUGAACCAGCCAAGUAGCGUGCAGGAUGACGGCCCUAUGGGUUAUAAACUGCUUUUAUGUGGGGAUAAAGUGCGUGACGUUUCAUGCAUUGCAUGUACCACAUGAAUAAGGACCGGCUAAUUCCGUGCCAGCAGCCGCGGUAAUACGUAUUGAGCGAGCGUUGUCCGGAAUUAUUUGUCGUAAAGGGUGCGCAGGCGGCUUUACAAGUUUGAUGUGAAAUAUUGUGGCUCAACCACAAACGGGAAUCAAAAACUGAAAAGCAUGAGUUAAGGAGAGGUAAGUGGAAUUCCUGGAGUAGCGGUAGAAUGAGUAGAUAGCAGGAGGAAUAACGGGGGCGAAGGCGACUUACUGGACAUAAAAUGAAGAUAAGGCACAAAAGCGUGGGGAGCAAACAGG